rnacentral:lncRNA from 1 species
AGAUUUUGACUAUACCGUUCUACCGCGAUAGCGCAUGUUGAUGGUGUCAUCAAGAUGUGCCUGUUUUGGUCAAAAGCAUGGCAGCGGCUGCAAACAAUACCCAGAUAGCAAGACGACAUUGAAUCUAUGUUGAUUUUUCAUCCGAACCGUCGUAUAUGGUCGGGGUUGAAAUGCCAAUGUUGUAACAACAUUGAAAUACUGUGGUAAACCGACGGUCUUACUAUAGAGACGUUGUAACAAUGUUGAUUCACCGUUGUUUUUUUGUCAUUGAUAUUUGAUCUAUUUAUAGUCGACCAGGUGACAACAACAACGUCGAGAAAACGUCUAUUUAUAGUUGACGAUCAUUCGGCUCCGCGGAGCCGAAUAAAAAACCAUCGAUUUGUAGUUGAGCAUUAAAUUGCAUUGCAACUGAUAGGGUAUAAAGUACCAGAGAAAGUAGAUUUAUUGUUCACUUGUUAUCAAUGACUUGGUCUAGUUCACCAGCUUUAAAAAAUCGUGUCUACGUGCAAUUUAUGUAUGUUGACCGGGAAAUUAAAGCAGCGAUCACUUGGACUAUUCCGCAGCACCCCUCUCACAUUGGUACAUCCCCCCAGGUAUUCAUUUUCUUCUACAGUAGAGCGGGACAUUUGAUUUACUCUCAGCGGAAUUGACCGGAGAAGGCAUCAGUUCAUGCACUGCACUGGCCCGCACCACGAUUAGUAUAAGAUCACAUUUGGUUACUACCAUCCACCCAUCAAUACACAGGGCAAGAAAAGACUCCAAAUUUUACAAAAAGUUAAAAAUGAAAGACUGGUGCAUUGUGCAGUUCAACACUGGUGGUACAGAAAUUGUCCCUAGUUCAUGGUUAAAUGGGAAGAAAUUGUCAUGGCCUCCAUAUCCUCCGCGAGACACAUUCAGGAUCCACGCCGCAGUAAAGAGGAGAGUUCAUCCUGGUGCAACAUGGCUCACCUAUGCACCAGUCCGGCUUCUCAUAAGCCAUGACACAUUUCAAGAAGCCGAACGCAGUCUCCAGAAAUAUCUCAGUGAACACUGUGAUACAUCUGACCUUCAGUCCGAAGCUGAAAGUCAGACCACUCUUAAAAGAAAGCACAAACCAAAUCCCCUGUACACGUAUAGUGACUCAGAGGAUGAGCAGCCCACAAAAAAAAGGUUUCCCCAGGCCCCUCGAGUGAAAAUACCAGGUAAUAAAAUAAUGUCUAGUGUCUGUGUACAUAACUGUGUGUCACACAUGGAAACUUCUUGGACAAGUUGUCUGUAUUCUUAA